rnacentral:rRNA from 1 species
UACGUAGGCAGCAAGCGUUGUUCGGAGUUACUGGGCGUAAAGGGUGUGUAGGCGGUCCUCUAAGUUUGGUGUGAAAUCUCCCGGCUCAACUGGGAGGGUGCGCCGAAAACUGGAGGGCUAGAGUACUGGAUGGGAGAGUGGAAUUCCUGGUGUAGCGGUGAAAUGCGUAGAUAUCAGGAGGAACACCGGUGGUGUAGACGGCUCUCUGGACAGUAACUGACGCUGAGACACGAAAGCGUGGGUAGCAAACAGG